rnacentral:rRNA from 1 species
AUUGAGCGCUGGCGGCAGGCCUAACACAUGCAAGUCGAGCGGCAGCGGGAAAGUAGCUUGCUACUUUUGCCGGCGAGCGGCGGACGGGUGAGUAAUGCCUGGGAAAUUGCCCAGUCGAGGGGGAUAACAGUUGGAAACGACUGCUAAUACCGCAUACGCCCUACGGGGGAAAGCAGGGGACCUCCGGGCCUUGCGCGAUUGGAUAUUCCCAGGUGGGAUUAGCUAGUUGGUGAGGUAGUGGCUCACCAAGGCGACGAUCCCUAGCUGGUCUGAGAGGAUGAUCAGCCACACUGGAACUGAGACACGGUCCAGACUCCUACGGGAGGCAGCAGUGGGGAAUAUUGCGCAAUGGGGGAAACCCUGAUGCAGCCAUGCCGCGUGUGUGAAGAAGGCCUUCGGGUUGUAAAGCACUUUCAGCGAGGAGGAAAGGUUGAUGCCUAAUACGUAUCAACUGUGACGUUACUCGCAGAAGAAGCACCGGCUAACUCCGUGCCAGCCGCCGCCGUAAAAC